CCUACGGGGAGCAGCAGUGGGGAAUAUUGGACAAUGGGCGAAAGCCUGAUCCAGCCAUGCCGCGUGUGUGAAGAAGGCCUUCGGGUUGUAAAGCACUUUCAGUGGGGAAGAAAGCCUUGGGGCUAAUACCCUCGAGGAAGGACAUCACCCACAGAAGAAGCACCGGCUAACUCCGUGCCAGCAGCCGCGGUAAUACGGAGGGUGCGAGCGUUAAUCGGAAUUACUGGGCGUAAAGCGCGCGUAGGCGGUCUGAUAAGCCGGUUGUGAAAGCCCCGGGCUCAACCUGGGAACGGCAUCCGGAACUGUCAGGCUAGAGUGCAGGAGAGGAAGGUAGAAUUCCCGGUGUAGCGGUGUAAUGCGUAGAGAUCGGGAGGAAUACCAGUGGCGAAGGCGGCCUUCUGGACUGACACUGACGCUGAGGUGCGAAAGCGUGGGUAGCAAACAGGAUUAGAUACCCUGGUAGUC
rnacentral:rRNA from 1 species